rnacentral:rRNA from 1 species
AAGUGGAGCAAUCCAUGAGUAAAGUGGCGACCGGGUGAGUAACACGUGACUAACCUACCCUGAAGUGGGGAAUAACCUCGGGAAACCGGGGCUAAUACCGCAUAACAUCGCGAGCUGUAAACGCUUGUGAUCAAAGGAGCAAUUCGCUUUAGGAGGGGGUCGCGGCUGAUUAGCUAGUUGGUGAGGUAACGGCCCACCAAGGCAAAGAUCAGUAUCCGGCCUGAGAGGGCGCACGGACACACUGGAACUGAAACACGGUCCAGACUCCUACGGGAGGCAGCAGUGGGGAAUUUUGCGCAAUGGGGGAAACCCUGACGCAGCAACGCCGCGUGGAGGAUGAAGUCCCUUGGG